UUUUAUGUCUUUUUUAAUGGCGGUUUGUGCUCUGGCGUGCAGUGGUGGAGGACGCUGGUUUUUCUGGACCGGCGCUUGUCCGUGGUGGCUGCACAUGGGAAUCAUCGAGGGCACUCUUAAGAGCAGAGAUACCCAGGCCCAACCCCCAGGUCAGAUUUUGGUGGUCUGGGGCGUGGCCAGGAGUUGUAGAUUUUAAAGGCUCCCCAAGAGAUUCUGAUAUGCAGCCAACUCGAUAGGUAGAUUCAAAGUGUGGUAUCACUUCAUUACUUUAAUUAGAAUUUUCUCUUGCGAUUGUUUCAGGCGUUCAGAUUUGGGAGACGUGGCCCCAGAAAUAAAAGCAUCUGAGAGACGAACAGCGGUGGCCAUUGCAGAUUUGGAAUGGAGAGACAUGGACGCAGAUGACUAUGGUACAAAUGAGGCUCAGGACAGUGACUUCCCAGCAGGUACGCAUUUUCUCCGCUCCCUGUCCCGACGCAGGAGGACCCGAGUAUGUGAGAGGUCCCUCUUGCCCCUGGUCCUGCGCACCCAGCCCCCCCCCCCCCGAGAAGACGGAGACUAGCAUCUGCGCAGGGGCAAGCGCAGGACUCUUAUUUGCAACCAGUUCCCAAAGCGGUUCUGAAAGCUCAGGUGGCAUUGGGAAGCCCUCAGCUGUUCCCCGUGUCGCUCCCACCAUGGGCCACACACUAGGCAGGAGUGCAGGUGAGGUUUCUUGGUCGGGCUUUUCCCCAGCGCCUCUCACUGUCUGCUGUUUAAAGGACGAAACCAGUUGUUCAUGUCUAGGUAAGAGAAUCCACGUCCCUCUUCAUUCAGGCAACACCUGGAAACCCGAGCAGCAGUACGAAGGGUUUCAGCCCUGCGUGCCCCCCCUGUAGCUCUUUUGUUUCUGCAGCAAGUUCUGAAGCCCCACCCUGUGCCUGGCAGUGUCCACUGCCUGCAGGGCCCUCGGGGGAGGAGACGCCUGUGCCCAAGGGCUGAGCCCUGCGGGGGGCGGGGGGGGGGCACCUCUGACUGCCCGGAAACCUGUGCCCCAGGGUUGGGCCCUGCCUGGGGUUGUCCCCUGACUGCCCGGGCACCUGCGCUCCAGGGCCCGGUCCUGCUGGGGGGCCAUCCCCUAACUGCUCUCUGGUUUAUGUGAACAAGUAUGCAGCUUCAUGAUGGAGAAGAUCCUGGAACUCAGUGGGAUUUGCAUUUUAAAAUUUUGUUCAUGUAGCUCACACUGAAAGCAUACUAAUUGUAUGCAGUAUGACAGUUGGUGAGACGCCACGGCCGAGAACAGGGUUAGCGGGUGAAACCUAGCGCUUGUAAGAAUUCAUAUUGCGUUGGGCAAUGCUGGAAGGUCUGAACAAGUACAGACCUCUGAUCAUCUCUACCAAGUAUGUUGCCAUGGUGACACUGAAAACCACGUGAUUGGCUUCAGAUUUGCAAAAUGGUUGUGUGACUGUAUUUAGUAGUAACAUCCUGUUCCCUUUAAAAAUUCUCCCAACUUGUUAAAAAGAAGAGAACGUUACCUAGAAAAUCCGACUGACCUCGGGGAUUGUGUCCCCUGUGGGACAUACCUGGUGAUGGCAUGAGGGCACCUGCUGCUGGGCCCAGGAUGUGGGGACAGGCCACAGGGUCACGUGGAGGGGUGGGUGUCCCCAGUGCGGGUGCACGGCUGUGCACUCUACACGGUUACAGUGGGCCCAACAUAGCUGUGUCUCGUGGAUUUCAAGAGAAACUGACGUGUAGACCUUUUCACGGCAUCUCCCAAUCCUUAAACGUGGCCCCUGGGUAUCCUCUUCUUUCUCCUUUCUAACGUCUCGCGUGUCUGCUGUGUUGGCCCCUGUUGGUUGCAGGCAGGCCGGGGGCACCCACACCCCGCUUU